CUAAAAUUGUGGUAACUUCCCUCCAAAUCUCCUUUUUAAUUAAAAAUUAUACUUUUAUUUCUUGCACCAAGAAAUGUCCAAUUUUUGGAGUGGCCAGCAGUUAAAUUUCUGGCUGGUGCUAAACCACGACACUUUCACAUUUCCUGUUUGGCCUAAACAUGAUAUACUGUCUUUACUGUCUGUUACAGCCCAGACCCUUAAACUCAGGGGUUAAACUCAACGUCCCAUUAUUCUGUUUUAGCACAAAGAAAUCCACACUAUAUACUCUCAGGAGGUGAAAUUCACACAGAGGUUUACUAGCAAAAACAUAGAAGAUCAAGGACCUUCAGUAAAGGACAAAAUACAAUAUUGAAUUCAACAUGAAACACUUAUUACCACAUAACUCAGCAUUUACUUAAUAUUAACUUAGCAUAAAUUUAGCGAAUUCAACCCAGAAGACUUUAAAAUACUAAGAUGUUUUGCUACACAUAAAAGCUCCGUGAAAAGAGGAUUGAGACAAGAAGAGAGCAGAAAAACACACCUAGAGCUAUGAAUCCAGGAUCCUGGCUGCGGGCCCAGAGAGAAAAAAACCCCAGUGGCGGUCACAUCGAGGUCACCCGUUUUAUCACCUUGGGCCUGUGUGGGCCCGCCCUCUGGGUGGGACUUCUGGUGGUGUGACCAAUCAGAAGCUGGAUUACCUGCCAGUGCUAUGAUUGACAGCUCCCACAGUGCAGCCUGCCCUCCCAGCCACAGGCAUCGCCAUUCCAGGACUGUGGAAUAUCUGUUUUCUGACACUGCCUUUGACACUGCUGCAAAACCAAUCCCACCGCAGAAAUCUUUGUCAUACAGUCUACUGCAGUACAGUAUUCAAAAAUUCCCCAGAUUUUUGAAAACCUUUGAAAUGGGUAAAGGAGAAUAACUUAUCAAUGCAUACAAAUGACUUAAGGGAAGAUGUCAAGAAGACCGGACCCAUGUAAGUGUUGCCCGAUGACAGACAAAAGGCAGUGAGCACAAGCUGAAACACAGGAAUCUGAAUAUGAGGAAAAUUCUCUUUAUUUUGCAGCUGACAGAGCACUGGAACAGACUGUCCAGUGAGGUUGUGUAAUCUCCUCUGGAAACAUUCAAAACCUGCCUAGACAUGGUCCUGUGCAACCUGCUCUAGCUGAACCUGGCUUUUUUGGGCUAGAUUAUCUUCAGAGGUCCCUCCCAAUGCCAAUCAUUUUCUGAUUAUGUGUUUCUCUGAAAAAACUUCCUUUUGGAUUGAAACAAUUACUCUGGUACCUGAUGGCAAGCUUGCAAUGUCAGAGGGAAGCUCCACAGUGGUUUUAAACUUUCAUACUUGUACCAUACUUGAAACGUUUAAAAUACAAUACUGCAUAUAAAAUAUCGUAUCUUUCAAGAAUAUAUCCACAAUUAAUCACUCCAAAAAUAUAUAUACUGAAACAAGAGAUAGAC
rnacentral:lncRNA from 1 species